GCUCUAGGAUAGCUCAGAUGGUAGAGCAUGAGACUCUUAAUCUCAGGGUUGUGGGUUCAAGCCCCAUGUUGGGCA
rnacentral:tRNA from 1 species